GUUUAUGUUAUCAUUGUAGGCCUAUAUAUUUUAAAACAAAAUAUUCAUGCCAUAUGAAUGAAGUUUGUUAAUAAAUUCAAAUUCAAAAUUCAUGUACGGAACCGUACAUCAUGUAUAUAGGUCCAUGAUCAUGAUAGGUCCAUGAUCAUACCAUGGAGGUAGACCAGUAACAUACAAAGAAAAAAAUACGAGACACAAUACAAACGCACCCUCACACACACCAUGGACCUAUAUGUUCAGCACACACACACACUGGACGACGGCGCCCCUGUCCACCCUAUAGAUACCCUAUGCCCACGGCCACACGAUAGUACGCGUGCAAGAAGCUUGAUUUCGCAAUCAAUCGCACGUGUGUUUUGUUUGUACACAAAGCUGACGUUGGGCAUCACACUGCACUGCUUAAUAAUUGCAUCUCGAAAUCUAAACUGUUCACUCGUAAAUCUAAGUACUUUUCAUUCAGCACACAUUUGCAAUGUGGACUAAAUUUAAACGAAGAAGAAUAUACGAUGGCGACGAAGCGCGACAUCUUUUCGAAGCUCUCUAUUUUACAGAAGAGGAAAAUGCUGCAACAAGUGAAGAGGCCACCAGUUUACGGGCCGGAGUACGGCUUAGCCUUAGGCGGGGACGACUCCCAGGCCAGGAGUCGAGUUUUUGCGAUUUGACAUCAGCUACGGGUUUGAAGAUUGCAACAAGCAACGACGUUGUUCGAGCAGAUCCCGUUGGCGAAGAGAGAGAUCAACCCUCCCGAGGAAGAAAACGUCUGAUGGUUUAUUUUGUUGACAGAGAGACAGUCAGAGUCUGACUCCUCUCAUUGCUCUGAAGCUGUAUCACGUACCUGUAGAAGGAACUUCAGCAAAAAGCGAAAUGCAGCCGGUCUGGAAUUAGCGGCAAUACUGAGGAUGAAAUGCUGCAAAAGUUAUUGUCUUCAUAAGAUAUCAAGAAUAGAUGCAAGCAAGGCCCGCAGAAGAUUUCAGAACAAUACUCUAGCAGAUCAGAGGCUAUGGAUUUUGCAGUACCUUAUUGAACAUCACAACUUUGUAAACAUGGAUGGAGACUCAUCCUUGGGAUUACUAGGACCCGCUUAUGGAAGAUGGAGUCAGGAUUAGCAGAAGGAUUGGUGACAUCUCGUCCAUCAAAUCACCAUCAUAAAGGACUUUUUUGUCUGUGAUGACGUCAAUGGUGUGGCUUAGUGAAUUUGUCGAUAAGUUUGGAGAGAAACUGCCAACCAACAACAAAAUCCAUCUUCCAUCAUGCCUUACACGUGGAAAUGUGUAUUGGACUAUGAAGGAGGAAGUAGAAGAGCAAGGAGGUUCUGUUUGUAGUCAGCAAUACUUCUUCCGCAAAUGGAGACAGGAAAUGUCUCAUGUUACCAUUCCAAAGGUGAACCUUUUUUACGAAAUGCGACAUAUGCACCAAACUGAAAUCUUGCCUAGAGAAGACAACUGGCAGAGAAGAGAGACAAACUUUACUGCAAGAAAGAGAGUCACACCUUUUCCAGCAAAAAAGACUCUGGUAAAUGGCCACUGGUGGAUAUAUUGAUGGAUAAAGAGUCUCAGAAUACACCACAAAGACAUCUUGAUCCAACUUCGGAAUUCUCAAAUGAUGAACAGCAACCUAUUCAAGCGGUCCAUCUAGGUACUAAGCAGAAAAGGCCUCAACAGCCAGUAUUAAAACUGGGAGAUAUGGUUGCAGUCUACUUAGAAGAGUUCAGUAAUGAGUGGCCGCGAGUGAGCAAAGUGUUGGAAAUGACUUUAGAGACAGUGUGAAUCUGCAUUGGUACUCAGGAUCAGAAACGUCCACGUGGAUAUCACCUACCACAUCAGUUCAAGGACAGAAGGGUCAGCCGUACACAGGAGAAGUCUCUCUUCAAGAAGUCAUUUCUUUCCCCUACAGUCUUACUAAAACAAACAAAUUACCAUAGGAUAUCCAGUGUCACUUGAAGGAAAAACGUGAAGAAUACUUUGCAUAUUAGGUCUGUAUGAACAUACACUGUAUUCAUACCAAUUUGGAAUGAGUUUGUUUGUCCAGGACUCAAAAGCUGUCUGUCUAUAUGGAAGCCACUUGAAUUAUGUAUUUUUGUGAUAUUACAAUGUACCUAUAUGUUUCCACAUUGGACAUGGUGCCCGGGGGGGCCACUUACAUUGACGAGUGGAUACCAUGCGCGACCAAAAAAACAUGUAAACAGGAUGUCUUAUUCAAGAUUGGGCACGUUACGUACGUAACAAGGGUGUCAAAAACACAAAAAUAAUGGAAAAAGGGUAUCUAUUUCGCUAGGAAAGUUACGUGUUUAGGGUCAAAUUUGCGGGAAUGAUGAAACAAAAUUAAAAUUUUUUAUAAAGGAUGUCCUCUUUGCCCCAACACUACGUGUUUAGAGUCCGAUUUGCGCGAGGUGUGGAAGGUGGGGCCGUGCACCAAAUGGUGUGUAAAGGUAAAACCGACGACCGACGGACCCGUGACAUAACAUAUCGCUGUACUUGUUUAGGGGUUCAUUUCAGGGAAUACUUGCCAAGAGUGUUGAUUUGUUACCAAUACUUGUUAAGGGUAGGGUUUCAGACGCCAAUACUUGUUAAGGGGUGCAUUUUCAGAAUAUGGAAAAUAAUUGUUUAGGGUGCUUUUCGAGACCCCAUGGUCGCGCAUGGUAUCCACUCGUCAAUGGAAGUGGCCUCCCUGGGAUAUGGUGAUAAUUUCCAGGGUUUAUCUUCACAUAAUUUUGAUCACCUACAUGUAUCUACAUUUAGAAGAGAUAAAUGCACAAUGGUUGAUAGAGAGUUGGUACCUGAAGUAGGUAAUGAAUUAAGUUCCACUGCCAAUGGAAAGUUUACCCUCUCAGUGCUCAAGAGGUAAGCUCCUUACCAUGGAACUCAAUAUGCAACAUUUGCGUAUACUGAACAGGCACAAAUAACGAUUUUCUGUAAUGGCACAUGUCAGUUAUCUCUCAAACAAAAAUUUUAAGUCAGACUAUGUGAGAAAGAAAUUAUACAUCAACUGGAACCAUCUGAAGACCUUUCAUUGAUUGCAUAGUGCAAUAUAGUUGAAUGAGUUUUAUUGUCUUGCCUGCCUAGCUGAGUGAGACAAUAGGGGUCACUUUUCCGACAGCGGCAGUGUCGUCAACAUUGAAAUCUUAACCAAGUGGUAAUUCCAUAAAAUAUGUACGUCCGACCCCCUAUAUGUGGGACUUUCAUGAAAUUUUCUGUCUCUGAUUUCUGGUUCUCUUGACAGUCUGUAAUGUUCUAUAACGUCCAUGAUUCCGUCAGUUUAUGAAGUGAAGUAAGACUUGAGAAAAAUGGGGGUCGGAUGUACAAAAAGGCUUAUCAUUUUAUGGAAUUUCCCCAAGGUUAAGUUUUUGUCUCGCCUGCAUAGCAGAGUGAGACUAUAGGCGCCGCUUUUUCGACGGCGGCGGCGGCGUCGUCAACAUUGAAAUCUUAACCAAGGUUAAGUUUUUGAAAUGUCAUCAUAACUUAGAAAGUAUAUGGGCCUAGUUCAUGAAACUUGAACAAGGGUAAUCAAGUAUGACUAAACAUCCUGCUUGAGUUUCAGGUCACAUGACCAAGGUCAAAGGUCAUUUAGGGUCAAUGAACUUAUACCAUGUUGGGGGAAUCAAUAUCAAAAUUUUAACCAAGGUCCACUUUUUGAAAUGUUGUCAUAACUUUGAAAGUAUAUGGACCUAGUUCAUAAAACUUAGACAUAAGGGUAAUAGUGUAUCACUAAAGAUCCUGCUUGAGUUUCAGGUCACAUGAUUAAGGUCAAAGGUCACUUAGGGUCAAACUAUGGCCAUGUUGGGGUUAUUUGAGGAAUUAUCAUCAUAACUUUAAAACUUUAUGGAUCUAGUUCAUGAAACUUGGACAUAAGAGCAACCAUGUAUCCCUGAAUAUCAUGUGUGAGUUUCAGGUCACAUGACUAAGGUCAAAGGUCACUUAGGGUCAACGAACUUAAGCCAUAUUGGGGGUAUAGGAGGAAUUGUCAUCAUCCUAAGAAUACUGGGGGGGGGGGGCUGAAUUGAUUUAGCCCCCCCUCGACAUUUUUCGCGAUAAAUCCGCCGCUCGAUAUUUUUUUACCGCUUCGUUCACUGACUUUUUACUUUCAAGUCUCGCGCAACUUUUAAGACCAAAAUUGUGACCCCCGGGUACGCGGUUCCGAAAUUACGCAACAUUUCGUAAGUGCAUGCAGACCCAAAAUUACUCAAAAACGUGAAUUUGUGUGCAAAUCCAAUGCAAAUAAUGUUUUUAGCCAAAAUUCAUAAAAUGUAUCAUUAUUUUUCCUUUUACUGCUUAAAAUCAAUUAAUUUUAUCUUGCUUACGGUCAAAAUAAAGUCCCCGACAAUUUCCAUUGAAAAAACAAUAAAAAACAAAAAGUCAAAAAACAAAGAAAUACAUAAGAAAUUUAGAAAACAAUAGAAUACAUAAGAAAAUAAAUGUGAUGUUAAAAUUUUUGAAAAAUAAAUUUGGUCAGAUGCCUAUCUUGAGUCUGUGAAACAAAAAUUAGAAUUUUAGGGGCAUUAUUUUAUUAAUUAGAGCAUGCAAACUUAUGAUUUUACGCAUAAAUUAGCAUAAUUAAUGAGCAAUGAGAUUUUUCGCAAAAUUUGAUAUUAUAGUUUUGUAGAUAAUGCCAUGGGUAAGGGGCGUGCCAAUUUUCGUCGUGAUCGCGCGAUCGACGGCCGAGAUCAUAAGGAGGGGCUGAAUCAGCCCCCCCCCCCCCCCCGAGUCUUCUUAGGCGUCGAAAUAGCCCAGUCUAUUUAGGGUUAAAGUCUAGGGAUCUAGUUCAUGAAACUUUGACAUAAGAGCAGCAAUGUAUCCCUGAAUACCCUGUGUGCGUUUUAGGAACAUAGCCAAGAUCAAAGGUCAUUUAAAGGUCAAUGAACUCUGGCUAUGAAUGAUUGUUUUGCACAUGUCUUAGGUCACAUGAUCAUGGUCAAAUGUCAUUUUGGGUCAAUGGACAUAGUAUUUUAUUUUCGUAUAUACGUAUUAGUGUUUUCUUCUGUGAAUAAUUAUUCAUUAGCUGUUUUCAAAGGAAGCACUGCUGCUAUAUCGAAUUGCGUAAUGCAGGCGAGACUGCCAGAGGCGUUCCACUUGUUGAAAUGUCAUCAUAACUUACAAAGUGUAUAGACCCAGUUCUUGAAACUUAUGAGGGAAAUCAAGUAUUACUGAGCAUCCUGCCUGAGUUUCAGGUCACAUGACCAGGGUCAAAAGUCAUUUAGGGUCAAUGAACUUAGACCAUGUUAGGGGAAAGAAUAUCGAAAUCUUAACCUCGAGUAUAUAUAUUUAUUUAUUUCUUCUGUUUUUCAUUGUUGUUGAUGUAGUUGAUGUAAUGGUGUAGCUUUGAAAUAAAGAUAAAUUUAUCCUCGUGUAGCCUUGAAAUUAAGAUAAAUUUAUCCUCGUGUAGCUUUGAAAUUAGGAUAAAUUUAUCCUCAUGUAGCCUUGAAAUUAGGAUAAAUUUAUCCUCGUGUUGCCUUGAAAUUAGGAUAAAUUUAUCCUCGUGUAGCUUUGAAAUUAAGAUAAAUUUAUCCUCAUGUAGCUUUGAAAUUAAGACAAAUUUAUCCUCAUGUAGCCUUGAAAUUAGGAUAAAUUUAUCCUCAUGUAGCCUUGAAGUUAGGAUAAAUUUAUCCUCAUGUAGUCUUGAAAUUAAGAUAAAUUUAUCCUCGUGUAGCCGUUAAAUUAGGAUAAAUUUAUCCUCGUGUAGCUUUGAAAUUAAGUUCAAUUUAUCCUCAUGUAGCCUUGGAAUUAAGAUAAAUUUAUCCUCGUGUAGCUUUGAAAUUAGGAUAAAUUUAUCCUCGUGUAGCCUUGAAAUUAGGAUAAAUUUAUCCUCGUGUAGCUUUGAAAUUAAGAUAAAUUUAUCCUCAUGUAGCUUUGAAAUUAAGAUAAAUUUAUUGUCAUGUAGCCUUGAAAUUAAGAUAAAUUUAUCCUCAUGUAGCCUUGAAGUUAGGAUAAAUUUAUCCUCAUGUAGUCUUGAAAUUAAGAUAAAUUUAUCCUAGUGUAGCCUUGAAAUUAGGAUAAAUAUAUCCUUGUGUAGCCUUGAAAUUAGGAUAAAUUUAUCCUCGUGUAGCUUUGAAAUUAAGAUAAAUUUGUCGUCAUGUAGCCUUGAAAUUAAGAUAAAUUUAUCCUUGUGUAGCUUUGAAAUUAAGAUAAAUUUAUCCUCAUGAAGCUUUGAAAUUAAGAUGAAUUUAUCCUUGCGUAGCCUUGAAAUUAGGAUAAAUUUAUCCUCGUGAAGCUUUGAAAUUAAGAUAAAUUUAUCCUCAUGUAGCUUUGAAACGAAGAUAAAUUUAUCCUCAUGUAGCUUUGAAAUUAGGAUAAAUUUAUCCUCGUGUAUUCUUGAAAUUAAGAUAAAUUUAUCCUCAUGAAGCUUUGAAAUUAAGAUAAUUUUAUCCUCAUGUAGCCUUUAAAUUAGGAUAAAUUUAUCUUCAUGUAGCCUUGAAAUUAGGAUAAAUUUAUCCUCGUGUAGCCUUGAAAUUAGGAUAAAUUUAUCCUCAUGAAGCCUUGAAAUUAAGAUAAAUUUAUCCUCGUGUAGCCAUGAAAUUAAGAUAAAUGUAUCCUCGUGUAGCUUUGAAAUAAGGAUAAAUUUAUCCUCGUGUAGCUUUGAAAUUAAGAUAAAUUUAUCCUCAUGUAGCCUUGAAAUUAAGAUAAAUUUAUCCUCGUGUAGCUUUGAAAUUAAGAUAAAUUUAUCCUCAUGUAGCUUUCAAAUUAAGAUAAAUUUAUCCUCAUGUUGCCUUGAAGUUAGGAUAAAUUUAUCCUCAUGUUGCCUUGAAGUUAGGAUAAAUUUAUCCUCAUGUAGACUGAAAUUAAGAUAAAUUUAUCCUCGUGUAGCCUUGAAAUUAGGAUAAAUUUAUCCUCGUGUAGCCUUGAAAUUAAGAUAAAUUUAUCCUCAUGUUGCCUUGAAGUUAGGAUAAAUUUAUCCUCAUGUAGACUGAAAUUAAGAUAAAUUUAUCCUCGUGUAGCCUUGAAAUUAGGAUAAAUUUAUCCUCGUGUAGCCUUGAAAUUAAGAUAAAUUUAUCCUUGUGUAGCUUUGAAAUUAAGAUGAAUUUAUCCUUGCGUAGCCUUGAAAUUAGGAUAAAUUUAUCCUCGUGAAGCUUUGAAAUUAAGAUAAAUUUAUCCUCAUGUAGCUUUGAAACGAAGAUAAAUUCAUCCUCAUGUAGCUUUGAAAUUAGGAUAAAUUUAUCCUCGUGUAUUCUUGAAAUUAGGAUGAAUUUAUCCUCAUGAAGCCUUGAAAUUAAGAUAAAUUUAUCCUCGUGUAUCCUUGAAAUUAAGAUAAAUUUAUCCUCGUGUAGCCUUGAAAUUAGGAUAAAUUUAUCCUCGUGAAGCUUUGAAAUUAAGAUAAAUUUAUCCUCAUGUAGCUUUGAAAUUAAGAUAAAUUUAUCCUCAUGUAGCCUUGAAAUUAAGAUAAAUUUAUCCUCGUGUAGCUUUGAAAUUAAGAUAAAUUUAUCCUCGCGUAGCCUUGAAAUUAGGAUAAAUUUAUCCUCGUGAAGCUUUGAAAUUAAGAUAAAUUUAUCCUCAUGUAGCUUUGAAACGAAGAUAAAUUUAUCCUCAUGUAGCUUUGAAAUUAGGAUAAAUUUAUCCUCAUGAAGCCUUGAAAUUAAGAUAAAUUUAUCCUCGUGUAUCCUUGAAAUUAAGAUAAAUUUAUCCUCGUGUAGCCUUGAAAUUAGGAUAAAUUUAUCCUCGUGAAGCUUUGAAAUUAAGAUAAAUUUAUCCUUGCGUAGCCUUGAAAUUAGGAUAAAUUUAUCCUCAUGUAGCCUUGAAAUUAAGAUAAAUUUAUCCUCCUGUAGUAUUAGCAGGAUGAACUAAUCCUUAUAAUUGUAAUAGAUUUGCAUGAUAUAUUUAUUUGAUCUGUUAUUCCUAUUAAAUGGUUGUAUUAAUUGAAA